rnacentral:ncRNA from 1 species
GCGAUGGUCUAGGUUGCUCGGGAAAGGCAGGUUUCAACCAUGUACAAGGCCAUCGGAUCGCGUGGGUCCCGGGUCAGCCGCGUUCUCUGG